CAGCCGCCGCGGUAAUACGUAGGUGGCGAGCGUUGUCCUGAUUUAUUGGGCGUAAAGGGAGUGUAGGCGGUCUUUUAAGUCUGAUGUGAAAGCCCACGGCUCAACCGUGGAGGGUCAUUGGAAACUGGGAGACUUGAGUGCAGAAGAGGAGAGCGGAAUUCCAUGUGUAGCGGUGAAAUGCGUAGAUAUAUGGAGGAACACCAGUGGCGAAGGCGGCUCUCUGGUCUGUAACUGACGCUGAGGCUCGAAAGCGUGGGGAGCAAACAGGAUUAGAUACCCGGGUAGUCCCUGUCUCUUAUAA
rnacentral:rRNA from 1 species